rnacentral:rRNA from 1 species
AUUUUGGACAAUGGGGGAAACCCUGAUCCAGCCAUCCCGCGUGUAUGAUGAAGGCCUNNNGGUUGNAAAGUACUUUUGGCAGANAAGNACAGGUACCUCCUAAUACGAGGUACUGCUGACGGUAUCUGCAGAAUAAGCACCGGCUAACUACGUUCCAGCAGCCGCGGUAAUACGUAUGUUGCAAGAGUUAAUCUGAAUUACUUGGCGUAAAGCGUGUGUAGGCGGUUCGGAAAGAAAGAUGUGAAAUCCCAGGGCUCAACCUUGGAACUGCAUUUUUAACUGCCGAGCUAGAGUAUGUCAGAGGGGGGUAGAAUUCCACGUGUAGCAGUGAAAUGCGUAGAUAUGUGGAGGAAUACCGAUGGCGAAGGCAGCCCCCUGGGAUAAUACUGACGCUCAGACACGAAAGCGUGGGGAGCAAACA